AUUAACUUGACUACUUUUGAAAGGGUUUCUAUCGCUGGCCAAAUAUGGCCAUAAGCUAACAUUAGAACCUGAAGCAAACAGAGUAACUUGACCUUGGGAGGAACAAUUCCUUGAACCCCCAGCAUUCAUACUGAACUUGUUUGUAGCAAGCCAAUAAAAAUAUUCCAGCUCUCUGUCUGAGCAGUACAGAUACAAUGCUUCCCACAGGGAACAUGAAUCCCGGGGGGAGUGAGUGACUUUGCGGAGAGGCCAGAUGAGGUGUGGACAGGCCUGGUUCCCAGAGUCAGCCACCAAGUAAUUCUAAAUCCUAAAAUUUAGGGCAACUCACGUUACUGUCUUGUACCUUCGUGAGUUGUGUUCAUAUGAGACUAUAUACUUUAUUGCUCAGGCCAGGUAUUUUUCAGAAUGAAAGGGAGGUGCUAUUAAUAAUCCACUGGCACAACUGAUCUUUUGGGCUCACUCUCGCUUUAAAAUUCCUUUGCAGCUGAAUUAGAGCUGAAAAUAAAACACAGGUUCCUGAUUACCAGACCCAUACUCUGCUCCCCAAGCCAAGCUAUCUUCUGCCGGGACCAAUCUAUACUGGGGUUCUCUGGAAGGGUGUUCAACAUAAAGAUCGAUGAAGGCACUGUCCCAGCAAAUAAACAGGACAACCUGUCCUGCACCUGCUUGGUCAUGUACUCACACACCCCAAACCCACGUGUGUUCAGAAUCAACAGCACUGGAAAGCCAACUCCACCUCAGGAUCAUUGAAAGGCAGGGGCGACAGAGGGAGCCAGGGCCAGGAUGAGGGCAGAUGCACCGCCCCCACCCCCCAUCAGGAGAAUCUCUUCUAUUUGCAACCUCAAGACUGUCCUCCACCAGCCCACCCAAGUUUUCCAGAGUUGGGUAAGCAAAACCUUGAAAGGAUGAGACCCUGGAAAUCGGGCAUGUUUGGAUUGGAGGAGAGAUGGGAAACAACCUACAACAUGGCCAGCUGGCCCAGGCAGCCAGCUGGCCAUCCCUGCACCCUCACCAGUGCCCAGCCACGUAAGACUCUUCACCAAGAUCGGAUGAGAGAGAUGCGGCAGAGAGAAGGAAGAAACACAGGACCCUGGACCCUCGUGCCAAG